rnacentral:rRNA from 1 species
GACGAACGCUGGCGGCGUGCUUAACACAUGCAAGUCGAACGAUGAACCCGGAGCUUGCUCCGGUGGAUUAGUGGCGAACGGGUGAGUAACACGUGAGUAACCUGCCCUUGACUCUGGGAUAACUGCGGGAAACUGUAGCUAAUACCGGAUACGACCCUCGGCGGCAUCGCCAGGGGGUGGAAAGAAUUUCGGUCAAGGAUGGACUCGCGGCCUAUCAGCUUGUUGGUGGGGUGAUGGCCUACCAAGGCGACGACGGGUAGCCGGCCUGAGAGGGUGACCGGCCACACUGGGACUGAGAUACGGCCCAGACUCCUACGGGAGGCAGCAGUGGGGAAUCUUGGACAAUGGGCGCAAGCCUGAUCCAGCCAUGCCGCGUGAGUGAAAAAGGUCUUCGGAUUGUAAAGCUCUUUUGCCAGGGACGAUAAUGACGGUACCUGGAGAAUAAGCCCCGGCAAACUUCGUGCCAGCCGCCGCAGUAA